rnacentral:rRNA from 1 species
GAUGAACGCUGGCGGCGUGCCUAAUACAUGCAAGUCGAGCGAACAGACGAGGAGCUUGCUCCUCUGACAUUAGCGGCGGACGGGUGAGUAACACGUGGAUAACCUACCUAUAAGACUGGGAUAACUUCGGGAAACCGGAGCUAAUACCGGAUAAUAUAUUGAACCGCAUGGUUCAAUAGUGAAAGACGGUUUUGCUGUCACUUAUAGAUGGAUCCGCGCCGCAUUAGCUAGUUGGUAAGGUAACGGCUUACCAAGGCAGCGAUGCGUAGCCGACCUGAGAGGGUGAUCGGCCACACUGGAACUGAGACACGGUCCAGACUCCUACGGGAGGCAGCAGUAGGGAAUCUUCCGCAAUGGGCGAAAGCCUGACGGAGCAACGCCGCGUGAGUGAUGAAGGUCUUCGGAUCGUAAAACUCUGUUAUUAGGGAAGAACAAAUGUGUAAGUAACUAUGCACGUCUUGACGGUACCUAAUCAGAAAGCCACGGCUAACUACGUG